UUAAAUUGAAGAGUUUGAUCAUGGCUCAGAUUGAACGCUGGCGGCAGGCCUAACACAUGCAAGUCGAACGGUAACAGGAAGCAGCUUGCUGCUUUGCUGACGAGUGGCGGACGGGUGAGUAAUGUCUGGGAAACUGCCUGAUGGAGGGGGAUAACUACUGGAAACGGUAGCUAAUACCGCAUAACGUCGCAAGACCAAAGAGGGGGACCUUCGGGCCUCUUGCCAUCGGAUGUGCCCAGAUGGGAUUAGCUAGUAGGUGGGGUAACGGCUCACCUAGGCGACGAUCCCUAGCUGGUCUGAGAGGAUGACCAGCCACACUGGAACUGAGACACGGUCCAGACUCCUACGGGAGGCAGCAGUGGGGAAUA
rnacentral:rRNA from 1 species